rnacentral:rRNA from 1 species
ACAGAGGGGGCAAGCGUUAUUCGGAAUUAUUGGGCGUAAAGGGCGCGUAGGUGGUUCGGUAAGUUGCUGGUGAAAUCCCGGGGCUCAACUCCGGGGCUGCCGGCACGACUGCCGGACUCGAGCACGGUAGGGGCAGAUGGAAUUCCCGGUGUAGCGGUGGAAUGCGUAGAUAUUGGGAAGAACACCUGAGGCGAAGGCGGGUUGCUGGGCCGACACUGACGCUGAGGCGCGAAAGCCAGGGGAGCAAACGGGA